CGGGGUGAGUAACACAUGGGUACCUACCUUCGAGUGAGGAAUACCGGCGAGAAAUCGCCGACAAUACCGCAUACGCUUGGGCAACCAAGCAAAGUCGCAAGACGCCGGAGGAGGAGCCUGCGCCCGAUUAGCUAGUUGGUGAAGUAAUGGUUCACCAAGGCGUCGAUCGGUAGCUGGUCUGAGAGGAUGAUCAGCCACACUGGGAUUGAGAACGGCCCAG
rnacentral:rRNA from 1 species